rnacentral:sRNA from 1 species
AUGGACCAUUCGGACACUCCGGUUCCUGCGCGCCGGCGCCCCCCGCCUGACGGCUGCUUGCUGCGUUUUGUUGGCC